UGCAUACUUCAUCCGUUCGAAAUUACUUGUCGCAGAAAUGGAUGUAUCUAGACGUAUUCUAGUUCUAGAUACAUUCAUUUUCGAGACAAGUAAUUCCGAACAGAGAAAGUAGUUA
rfam:Triticum aestivum genome assembly, contig: Triticum_aestivum_CS42_TGACv1_scaffold_471263_6AL